CCUAGUUCUGGUUUGUGCCUGUGCCCAGAACCUGAUACAUUUGGGCAAGCGUACAUGGAGCUGCAGCCCCAGUCCCCAAGCUAUAUUUGCCGAAGAUGACCCAGAAGUGAAGGCAGGUGGCCACCCACCUGCAGUGAAGUCUGAGGGAUUCAGAGAGACCUGAGGGAGACCCCUGAAGACCCGAAUUCCAGAGAAGCCAAGUGAAAUGGAAAGAAACGAGAGAAGUUCAGAGUCUUAGCAAGGCACCUUGUAGCCGCCUGUACUCGAGGACUCUGGGCGGCACGGUGGCACCUAUGAGGGACACCUUCAGCAUGGAAGCCAGAAACAAACACAGAAGUGUGAACGCUUGUGCCGAGGGGCUUGCAGAAAGGACGUGCUUGCUGGCACGGGAAGACAGAGCACCACUCUGCUGGACAUCCGCUGGAACCGACUCCAAUUUUCACAAUUCAGCUCAGGGCACAAGUGACAGCAAACACGCCGCCAGCCUCGGCUGCUACGAGUGGUUAUUACCACGCAGGAAAUGAGAACUCUGCAGACGGCAUGGCAGCAGAAGCUUGAGGCAGCUGGUCGCAGAGCAUCUGCAGUCACGGAGCAGGAAGAAAGCUAGCGCUCAGCUCACUCUCCUUGUUCAUGGAUGCUGGUUCAUGGGACAGUGCCGUUCAUGCUUAGGGUGGGUCUUUCUGCCUCAACCAACUCACUGUAAAAACUUCCUUAAAGACAACUCCAGAGGUUUGUCUCCUAGGAGGCUUAGCCGGUAACUAACCGACCAGAACUGACCAUAGAGAAGACAGCAAUUUGGAUAGAGAAGACCCACAGGAAGAGAAGAGCGGGGACUUGAGUUGGGUCCUUCCUUUCAGUUUUGGGAAGACUGAAGAGACACAUCUCUUGCUGGGUCUCCAGCUCUAAAGCAAGGUUAGCCAGUCACCAGCUCUGCCCCUCAAAUCAAGGUAAACUUUACUUAACCAUCUCGGAGUGUACCGUGUGAUCGAAGUCCCCGAAACAGAUGGGUGAAAUUAAACACAUUCCGUCAAGUA